UACGAAGGGGGCUAGCGUUGUUCGGAUUUACUGGGCGUAAAGCGCACGUAGGCGGAUCGAUCAGUCAGGGGUGAAAUCCCGGGGCUCAACCUCGGAACUGCCUUCGAUACUGCGGGUCUCGAGUCCGGGAGAGGUGAGUGGAAUUCCUAGUGUAGAGGUGAAAUUCGUAGAUAUUAGGAAGAACACCAGUGGCGAAGGCGGCUCACUGGCCCGGUACUGACGCUGAGGCGCGAAAGCGUGGGGAGCAAACAGG
rnacentral:rRNA from 1 species